rnacentral:rRNA from 1 species
AGUGAACGCUGGCGGUAGGCCUAACACAUGCAAGUCGAACGGCAGCACAGUAAGAGCUUGCUCUUACGGGUGGCGAGUGGCGGACGGGUGAGGAAUACAUCGGAAUCUACUUUUUCGUGGGGGAUAACGUAGGGAAACUUACGCUAAUACCGCAUACGACCUACGGGUGAAAGCAGGGGAUCUUCGGACCUUGCGCGAUUGAAUGAACCGAUGUCGGAUUAGCUAGUUGGCGGGGUAAAGGCCCACCAAGGCGACGAUCCGUAGCUGGUCUGAGAGGAUGAUCAGCCACACUGGAACUGUGACACGGUCCAGACUCCUACGGGAGGCAGCAGUGGGGAAUAUUGUACAAUGGGCGCAAGCCUGAUCCAGCCAUACCGCGUGGGUGAAGAAGGCCUUCGGGUUGUAAAGCCCUUUUGUUGGGAAAGAAAAGCAGCAGGUUAAUACCCCGCUGUUCUGACGGUACCCAAAGAAUAAGCACCGGCUAACUUCGUG